rnacentral:rRNA from 1 species
AACGAACGCUGGCGGCAGGCUUAACACAUGCAAGUCGAGCGCCCCGCAAGGGGAGCGGCAGACGGGUGAGUAACGCGUGGGAAUCUACCCAUCUCUACGGAAUAACGCAUGGGAACGUGUGCUAAUAACGUAUACGUCCCUAGGGAGAAAGAUUUUGCGGAGAAGGAUGAGCCGGCGUUGGAUUAGCUAGUUGGUGGGGUAAAGGCCUACCAAGGCGACGAUCAAUUGCUGGUCUCAGAGGAUGAUCAGCCACACUGGGACUGAGACACGGCCCAGACUCCUACGGGAGGCAGCAGUGGGGAAUAUUGGACAAUGGGCGCAAGCCUGAUCCAGCCAUGCCGCGUGAGUGAUGAAGGCCCUAGGGUUGUAAAGCUCUUUCACCGGUGAAGAUAAUGACGGUAACCGGAGAAGAAGCCCCGGCUAACUUCGUGCCAGCCGCCGCAGUAACAC